AUGGAGGGUGUUGAUGGGGACUGGUGAUAUGUAAUGGAGGGUGUUGAUGACAAGGUAAAGCCAGCAUGGAGAACACUGUACAGGGGACUGGUGAUAUGUAAUGGAGGGUGUUGAUGGGGACUGGUGAUAUGUAAUGGAGGGUGUUGAUGGGGACUGGUGAUAUGUAAUGGGGAGUGUUGAUGGGGACUGGUGAUAUGUAAUGGAGGGUGUUGAUGGGGACUGGUGAUAUGUAAUGGAGGGUGUUGAUGGGGACUGGUGAUAUGUAAUGGGGGUGUUGAUGGGGACUGGUGAUAUGUAAUGGAGGGUGUUGAUGGGGGCUGGUGAUAUAUAAUGGGGGGUGUUGAUGACAAGGUAAAGCCAGCAUGGGGAACACUGUACAGGGGACUGGUGAUAUGUAAUGGGGGUGUUGAUGGGGACUGGUGAUAUGAAAUGGAGGGUGUUGAUGGGGACUGGUGAUAUACAAUGGAGGGUGUUGAUGACAAGGUAAAGCCAGCAUGGAGAACACUGUACAGGGGACUGGUGAUAUGUAAUGGGGGGGUGUUGAUGACAAGGUAAAGCCAGCAUAGAGAACACUGUACAGGGGACUGGUGAUAUGUAAUGGAGGGUGUUGAUGGGGACUGGUGAUAUGUAAUGGAGGGUGUUGAUGGGGGCUGGUGAUAUGUAAUGGGGGGUGUUGAUGACAAGGUAAAGCCAGCAUGGGGAACACUGUACAGGGGACUGGUGAUAUGUAAUGGAGGGUGUUGAUGGGGACUGGUGAUAUGUAAUGGAGGGUGUUGAUGGGGACUGGUGAUAUGUAAUGGAGGGUGUUGAUGGGGACUGGUGAUAUGUAAUGGAGGGUGUUGAUGACAAG
ensembl:lncRNA